UACGAAGGGGGCAAGCGUUGCUCGGAUUUAUUGGGCGUAAAGGGUGUGUAGGUGGUUUUACAAGUUAGAUGUGGAAGCCCAGGGCUUAACCCUGGAAUUGCAUUUAAAACUGUAAAACUUGAAGAUCACAGAGGUAAGCAGAAUUCCCAGUGUAGAGGUGAAAUUCGUAGAUAUUGGGAAGAAUACCAACGGCGUAGGCAGCUUACUGGGUGAUACUUGACACUGAGGCACGAAAGCGUGGGGAGCAAACAGG
rnacentral:rRNA from 1 species